AAAAUAUUAUGAGGAAAUACAAAGGUAGAAGUAAGAAGGGCCUCACCUGAAGAUAAGGGUGAGGGAAAAGAUGAGAAUCACAGCCACAGUCACAGUAUGGGGUCAGAAGGGACCCAUGCUGAUGGCAAUGAAUUCGAGUCUAUUACAAACUGGUAUAUCUUUUUAAGUAAAAACCACAGGAAUUACAAUUGCCUGUGAGAAAGGUCCAUGGGAAAGUGUACAAGAAUGUAGAUAGUGCAGCUGGUAGGAUAAUGGUUAGGGCAAGAUAAUGAUUUCAGGAAUCAUCCAGAGUUCAUGGAAAAGUCAGCAAAAACUAAAAGAAGACAGAGUCAAGGGAACUCCAACCCCUUCUCAGACAGACCAUGAGAAUUCAAACUCUGAUACCAUUUAAUUUAUUAUGCUGACUUGAGAUAUAUUGAAAUUGCAAUGGAGAAAAGUUGGGAUGUGAAAGGAUAAUUCUAAGUGGGAAAUCUUUACCAAAAAAAAUCUAUUAGCAUAUAAUGUUUCUAUGUGGUUUUCUAAAUCAAUAUAACUUCAUCAAGUCUAAGAAUUUUUUUUUAGUCUGCAGAAUUUCUGUUUGAGACCACUCAUAAAAAGAAAAAAAGAGCCCAGGAUAGCAUAUUAGGGGACAUGCACAAUUAUUAUUAAGAUCUUUCUGCGUGAGAAAAAUUACCUCCACCCCUUUUAAUGUUGCAGAUGUGAUGACAUACCUGGUGUCAUCCUGGUGAUGGGGCUUGAACUCGAACAUCUGGCAUCAGCCUGACAGUUCCCUGUAUGUCCAGCUGGAGGAUCGGUAUAUUAAUCCUAAGCCAGGAAAAAUGAGGGUCCUCAGCUUCUGUGUUGGGACCAACUAAGGACUGCUGGUACUAAUGUGGUAGAGUAUAGGCUGAAAGUCUGCUAAAUGGAGACUAUAUAGUAAUCCUUUCUUUAGGAAUCAUCUAUGUCCUCACUCUUUUUUCAUCCUCUCCUUUCUAUUAAUAAAAUUAUUAAAAUCUAACACCAGUUUCCUCAUUUUUAAUCUUAACAUUUCCAAGUUGACACUGAAUUUUUGAUAAUUGCUCUUUGGAAGUGACUAUUCAACAAAUUCAGAAAAUAUAAAAUUUUAUUAUCUAUCAGUAUUUUACCAUUUAGUAUGAGAAUAUUUGUCAAAUACAUUUUAAAAAUCAAGGCAAAUUGCAUGUACAAUAGUCUGUAGAUUCCCUAGAUUUUACUCUCUGGUAUGCAGUGAAUAGAGCACUAAGCUUAGAAUUAGGAAGACAUGUUUAUUUUUUCCUACUUUCUUAUUUAGAAAAUUUUUCCAUGGUUACAUGAUUAAUGACUCCUCCCUCAUUUUCUCCCUAUUUCCUGAAACUGAUAAGCAGUUCCACUGAGUUAUAUAUGUAUCAUUGUUCAAAACCCAUUUCCAUGUUAUUGUUUUUUGCAGUAGAAUGAUCUUUUAACAUCCAAACCCUAAUAUCCAUAUUGAACUAUGCGAUCGAUCAUAUAUUUUUCUUCUGCGUUUCUGUCCACACAAAUCUUUCUCUGGAUGUGGAUAGCAUUCUUUCUCAUAAGUUCCUCUGGAUGCUCCUAUGUCAUUGCAUUACUGCUAGUAUAGAAGUCCAUUACAUUUGAUUAUUCCACAGUGUAUCAGUCCCUGUGUACAACAUUCUCCUGGAUCUGCUCCUUAUGCUCUGCAUCAAUUCCUAGAGCUUGUUCCAGUUCACAUCAAAUUCCUCUAUUUCUUUAUUCCUUUCAGCACAAUAAUAUUCCAUCACCACCAGAUAUCAUAAUUUGUUCAGCCAUUCUCCAAUUGAUGGACACCCCCUCAUUUUCCAAUGUUUUGCCACCACAAAUAGCAAGGCUAUAAAUAUUCUUCUACCUGUCUUUUUCCUUAUUAUCUCUUUGGGGUACAAACCCAACAGUGGUAUGGCUGUGACACAGGGUAGGCAUUCAUUUAAAGUCCUUUGGGCAUAAUUCCAAAUUGCCAUCCAGAAUGGUUGGACCAAUUCAUGACUCCACAAGCAGUGUAUGAGUGUCCCAAUUUUGCCACAUCACCGCCAACAUUUAUCACUAGAAAGACAUCUUUAUUAGUUCAAAUCCAAACUUAGAAUUACAAGCUACAUGACCUGGACAAGUGACAACUCUGGUUGCCUCAGUUCCUCAUCUAUAAAAAUGAACUGGAGGAAGAAAUAAUAAACUCUUCUCUCUUUGCUAGGAAAAUCUCUAAUGAGGUCAGAAAGAGUCAGAUAUAACUUAAACAAAGGAACAAGUCCUGUAAUUAUAAUGUGCAUUUGAACUACUUCUCUUCUGCCCUGGAAGUCAAAAAUGGUCCAGAAGCAAGACUACAACCAGAUUCAUCCAUAACUUCUGAAAGAGGUCAUUAAAAGGAUUGAAUGAAUGGUACUAAAUAGCUCCUUGGAUUGAUAGCCAGGCCUAGAGAUUGGAGGUCCUGGAUUCAAAUAUGGCUGCAUGACCUAGCUGUGUGACCCUGGACUUAACUACAAUUUCCUUCCCCUUACCACUCUUCUGCCUUGGAAUAAAUACUUUGUAUUGAUUCUCAGAUAAAAGAUUGACACUAGGAAGAACUAUAAGGCUUCCAUAAUAAUCUAAAAAAGUGGUAUCAAGAGUUGUUAUCAUAUGACUUCAAAGAGGAGGAAAAACAGAAGACUUUUUUUGCAGGAGAAAUUGAAAGAAGCUGGUAACUGAUUAUAUAUAAUGUUAGAAUUAUGGAUCAAUGAAAAAAUGUAGAAGAAUUAUCUAAAAUAUGUUAUGAUUAAAAUUAUCUAGAAACUAUAUAUUAAUUAAUAAUUAUCUAUUAGUAAAAGUUGGAAAGAAUUAUAAACCUACCUGAUGGUGGCUCACUAAUCUGCAUCUGUUCUGCUCAUCUCUCUUUGUUAGCUAUAAGUGGCCAUGCCAUGAAGUCUCCAGAUCAAGGGAGAACUGCUUCCUCCAAACCCCUCUCUUAAAACCCCUGAUGGUGUCAGUCCUUCUAAAUCUCCCUGAUUAGAAAGACUUGACCUUUAGUUCCAGUCAGAGCUCAGUCUUCCUGACACCAGGAAUCAAACACGAGGGAUGCCAGUGAGCCAUGAGCUUUUGUUGUCCUUCCAUAGUAUACAUGUGUACCCAGUCAAAAGGAGGGGUUGAUACAGAACAAAAUGGAUUUUCAAAUGAAAUAUAGGGUACAAUUUAUAUUAAAUUCACAAAAGAUGACAAAUCUGGCAGAUAUUGAAUGAUGGUGGUAUAUAUAGAAAUAAAAAUCAGAAGGGUAAAUAGCUGAGAAAAGAUAAUUUAUUGUUUAAGACAUCAUGAAUUUUAAAUACCAUUAUGAAAUUCUGAUGGAGAGGUCCUCUAAGCAUUUGGAAAUGUGAGUCUAAUCAUCAGAAGAGAGCUAGGCUCAGAAAUCAUUGACACUUCAGAUGGUAGUUGGAUGUUGUAAGAAUAAAGGAACUUGUCAAGAUAGUAUGGAGCUACUGUUACCGUGAUCCAAAAGUAGAUCUUUUAGUAAAACUAAUGUUGAGGGCUAAGAAAGUAAAGUGGAACCAGUGAGAAAAAUACAGAAAUAAUUUAAGAAGUCAGAAGAGUUUCUAGGGAAUAUAAUAUUUCUGAAGUACAGGUAAAGGAUGAUUAUUCAAUAAGAAGAAAUGAGUCAGCUGAAAUCUGUGUUGUUUUUAUUCAAACCGAUUUUUGUGGCAAAAAAAUAGAUAAUUAACAGUGUUGAUAUUUGAUCAUUCUAAUCCUAACUCUAUGAUCUCUGAAUAAAAUAAUAUAAGUUUCUUAAAGAUGAGAAUGGCUCUAUUUUGUCUUUCUAAUAUCCUAGCACUUGUUGCUAUGCCAGGAACAUAGUAUGGAUAUAAUGAAUGAUCUGUCAGUAAUAUUUCUUAAUAUAUAGUGUAAAUAUGAAAAAAAACACAGAACUACAAAAGUAGUUAUAAUAAUGG